rnacentral:rRNA from 1 species
UACGGAGGGGGCGAGCGUUGUUCGGAAUUACUGGGCGUAAAGGGCGCGUAGGCGGCCCAUCAAGUUAGGCGUGAAAGCCCCGGGCUCAACCUGGGAAUUGCGUUUAAGACUGGUGAGCUAGAGUACGAGAGAGGAAAGUGGAAUUCCUAGUGUAGAGGUGAAAUUCGUAGAUAUUCGGAAGAACACCAGUGGCGAAGGCGGCUCACUGGACCGGCAUUGACGCUGAGGUGCG